UAGCAGGUUAAAGUCCUGUCCGGGGAGUUGUCCGUACGCCCCGGUAGUAUGAGGAAGCGGCGUUGUAGAGAUACAGGGUCGUGAGUUUCCCCCCAACAAUAAAGCAGGCCGUAACGCAA
rnacentral:ncRNA from 1 species